CCUACGGGUGGCUGCAGUGGGGAAUAUUGGACAAUGGGGGGAACCCUGAUCCAGCCAUGCCGCGUGUGUGAAGAAGGCCCUCGGGUUGUAAAGCACUUUCAGUGAGGAAGAACGCCUGGUGGUUAAUACCCAUCAGGAAAGACAUCACUCACAGAAGAAGCACCGGCUAACUCCGUGCCAGCAGCCGCGGUAAUACGGAGGGUGCGAGCGUUAAUCGGAAUUACUGGGCGUAAAGCGCGCGUAGGUGGCUUGAUAAGCCGGUUGUGAAAGCCCCGGGCUCAACCUGGGAACGGCAUCCGGAACUGUCAAGCUAGAGUGCAGGAGAGGAAGGUAGAAUUCCCGGUGUAGCGGUGAAAUGCGUAGAGAUCGGGAGGAAUACCAGUGGCGAAGGCGGCCUUCUGGACUGACACUGACACUGAGGUGCGAAGGCGUGGGUAGCAAACAGGAUUAGAUACCCGUGUAGUC
rnacentral:rRNA from 1 species